GGUAAAUCUCGUGCCAGCCACCGCGGUCAUACAAGAAACCCAAGUCAAUAAUCCAUCCGGCGUAAAGAGUGGCUACAUGUUAUCAAACCAACUAAGAUCAAAAUGUAACUAAGCUGUCAUAAGCCUAAGAUUCACCUAAACCCAACCUCAAAACAAUCUUAGCCACCACGACCAAUUUCAACCCACGAAAGCCAGGGCACAAACUGGGAUUAGAUACCCCACUAUGCCUAGCCCUAAAUCUAGAUACUUCAAUACCUAAGUAUCCGCCUGAGAACUACGAGCACAAACGCUUAAAACUCUAAGGACUUGGCGGUGCCCCAAACCCACCUAGAGGAGCCUGUUCUAUAACCGAUAAUCCACGAUCCACCCAACCACCUCUUGCCAACACAGCCUACAUACCGCCGUCGCCAGCCCACCUACAUGAAAGCGCAACAGUGAGCUCAACAGUCCCCACUAACAAGACAGGUCAAGGUAUAGCCCAUGAGGUGGAAGAAAUGGGCUACAUUUUCUAGCAUAGAACACUCACGAAAAAGAGCAUGAAACCUGCCCUUAGAAGGAGGAUUUAGCAGUAAAAUGGGACCAUACAUCUUAAGCCCAUUUUAAGCCGGCUCUGGGGCACGUACAUACCGCCCGUCACCCUCUUCACAAGCCACCUCCACCGAUAACUAACACCCUCCCCGGCCAAAGACGAGGUAAGUCGUAACAAGGUAAGCAUACUGGA
rnacentral:rRNA from 1 species